CAAUCAAAUAAGCAGACAAAAAAAUUCAACUACAGACAUUAAAAUUGAUGAAAUAGACAAGCAGGGAGCCAAGCAGCCAGCCUGAGCAGACGUGCCGAGUCCCAGCCUCUGUCCCAAAUCGAUUGUUUUGGUGAAAAACCCAAAAACUCGGCACGUCCAUCUCCUGGUUAGAUAUUAACAAGCAGGGGAACACCCGGGCGACCAGCCUGAUACUACACAUCAGCGGAUCGACAACCGGGUGCCACGAUCAAGCCACUGAGGCCUACGGGAGUUCGAGGCGGGAGGGGACGGCCGUUCCUCCUGUUCACGGCCCCAAAAACAGACUCUAAAGCAAGAUCACAUCCUACCCCCCCCCGGAUCGGUGGGGGUCAUGCCGGUCCACAGCAAGUGUCUGGAGCAUUCAGCCGCACCCCAGUCCUGUACGCUGAGCAACAACCCCGGAAAGCUUCUACCUCGUGGCAAACACAAUAUGGUGGCUACCUGCUUACCUGAAACACAGAGCCUGCCACCAAGCCAAUAGCACCAUUCUUGCACCACCGCUGACUCCCUGCAUCGCUUGGAUCAAAUAUUCAGGAGUUUCUGGGAAAAGCUGCUGAAGCGGACUCAGAUGGAGCAGACAGUAGGCCAAGAGCUCUCGGUAAAAGGAGUGCUUGACCGCGAGCAACGCGAAGCGAAUGGGCUACCCUCGGGCACAGCGCCAACAUACUCAGCUACUGUCACACUAAAGGGCUGAAGGCCAUGAGGGUCCAAACCCAGAGGCAUUACCCACACAAACGGAGGGGCAAGUGCCACAAGCGGCGGCAGACAUCAGACCCUCCGGAACCUCCACACGAGGACGAAACCCGAACUAUUGUAGCAACCGGGGCUGUGGCACAGAAAUGCCGGCCAACAUAAUAGCCUGGGGCAGGAGGGACGCCCCCACUCGCACUUACACCGCAGCAGUACCGAGAGGCACAUAGACGGGCUCAAGCGGCAUACCACCGAAGGGAAUCGGACGGCAGGGACAGACGCGACUUUCUGACCUUGUGUCCCUGGAGGCAGACCACCUAGCUAUCCCGACAUGCGGAGUAGGCUGAGGACCCUUACCAUUGUUUUCGCCUGGACUGGCACGGAGACACGCACAGAGCUUGAGAAUCUGCUGGGACCUGGUGAUCCUACUUGUAGCGUGUACUUUAACAUAGCAAUGCAAAGCCUUAGAUUCAAACUAUAAAAGUGUCACUGUCAAUCUUAGAAAUAGUAAUGUUUUGCAUAUACAAGACGACUGCCCAGCAUGAUAUGUAACCCACUGUUUGCUAUAUGUCUAUUACCUAGCAUACAGGUUAGAAUAGAACCUAAUGUUAUACCGGUUUAUAUCUUGACAGGUUAACCUUGCUAAUUAUUGCACUCAAAACAUCUACCUACCCAACCUGUGAUCCACUAUUAUACUCAUGAUAAAACAUAAAAUGGUGCAUAUGUAUCAUAGGCGACCUAGCAAUGUUAAGCAUCCAGCAUCUUUACUUUAUUUUAAUCCACUCAAUCUUACUCGGACAAAUUAACUGUUUAGUUAAGCAUGUUAAAUAUAAAAAUUGUGCAAAUUAUCAAGCCACUGUUUAACUUGUAUGAAACUUGAAAUACUCUGUUGUGGCGCUCGUUGAAAUACUGUGACCAACUGCACUACUAAAAUAAAGAAUUUAAAAAAAAAAUAGACAAGCAGGCAAUUUUUCUUUUAAUUCCUAAAGCAGGAAAAGGAAGAUUACAGUAUUUAACUGUCCUGUGAAAACCAUAAACGCCCACAAUCCUUUAACGUACCUAGAAAGGUCUCCUACACAUAGGGGAUCUGCACGUAUUUUGCUCUGGAUUGUUCCUGUUCAUGAACCAGCCUGAUGUGUUAGUAGCACAAUAUGUCCAUUCACGUGUACUGGUGUUACUAUGAUUCUCUACCUGUGCACUGUGUUCUUUGAUCUACUCUCUGUUCUGUUUUAUUCGUUUUUAUUGUAAAAUAAACAAAAACUAAUUGAAAUAAA
rnacentral:lncRNA from 1 species